CCCCACCGUGGUGGCGGUGGUGGUGGUGGGACGCGUGGUGAGGACCUCCCCGCCUGCCGCCUCCUCUGCUCUCUCCCGCAGGGGCUACGGCAGCGUCCGGCGGCGGCCCUCGGGGCUCAGCAAGGAGGACCUGGCCGAGGUGUGCAAGCGCGAGGGCGCCGAGCGGGGCCGGGCGGACGUGGACCGCUUGGUGGGACUGGGCAGCUCCAGCGGCUCCGCCGGCCGGCUGAUGCUCUCCAAGGAGGACAAGGAGGCGGCCAAGUUGGGGCUCUCCGUCUUCACGCAUCAAAAGGCGCCGGGCAGCCCCGAGGCGGCCGGCUCCGGGAGGAAGCAGCGCAAGGAGGAGAAGGCCGAGGAGCGAGGCUUGGAGACCGUCAAGAAACCCAAAAAGGAGAAGAAAAAGAAGAAGAAGAAGAAGAAGAAGCACAAGAAGGAAAAGAAGAAAGACAAGCGGCGCAGGAGAGACGCCUCCGCCUCGUCCUCAUCCUCCUCCUCCUCCUCCUCUCCGGAGCGGGACACGAGGCGCCGGCGGAGGAAACCUGGUGACGUGGACGAUUCCUCCGGCAGCGGCCGCCGCUCGCCCAGCCGGAGCCGCAGCCGGAGCCGGAGCCGGGAUGGCCANNNNNNNNNNNNNNNNNNNNNNNNNCGCCGCGGCAGGAAGAGGAGCCGCAGCCGGUCGCCGCCGCGUCGCCCGCUCGCAGGAGCCGGGGAGCCCAGCGCCCGGCCCCGCAGGUCUUAA
rnacentral:lncRNA from 1 species